GAUGAACGCUGGCGGCAGGCCUAAUACAUGCAAGUCAAGGGGCCCCGCCUUUGGGCGGGGCACCGGCGGACGGGUGAGCAGCGCGUACACAACGUGCCCCUGACCGGGGGACAGCGGCGGGAAACUGCCGGUAACACCCCAUGGCGCCGCGGGGCGGCAUUGCCCGGCGGCGAAAGUUUCGGCGGUCGGGGAUCGGUGUGCGUCCGAUUAGGUAGUUGGCGGGGUGACGGCCACCAAGCCUGCGAUCGGAGGGGGUGUGAGAGCACGGCCCCCCACAUGGGGUACUGAGACACGGACCAACUCCUGCGGGAGGCAGCAGUAGGGAUAUUGGACAAUGGAGGGAACUCUGGAUCCAGCCAUGCCGCGUGGAGAAGAAUGCGCUCAGCGUUGUAAACUCCUUUUGGGC
rnacentral:rRNA from 1 species